rnacentral:rRNA from 1 species
GUGAUAAACUGGAGGAAGGUGGGGAUGACGUCAAGUCAUCAUGGCCCUUACGACCAGGGCUACACACGUGCUACAAUGGCGCAUACAAAGAGAAGCGACCUCGCGAGAGCAAGCGGACCUCAUAAAGUGCGUCGUAGUCCGGAUUGGAGUCUGCAACUCGACUCCAUGAAGUCGGAAUCGCUAGUAAUCGUGGAUCAGAAUGCCACGGUGAAUACGUUCCCGGGCCUUGUACACACCGCCCGUCACACCAUGGGAGUGGGUUGCAAAAGAAGUAGGUAGCUUAACCUUCGGGAGGGCGCUUACCACUUUGUGAUUCAUGACUGGGGUGAAGUCGUAACAAGGUAACCGUAGGGGAACCUGCGGUUGGAUCACCUCCUUACCUUAAAGAA